rnacentral:lncRNA from 1 species
AUAGACAAAUUCAUAAAAUUUUAGUAAAUAGAAUAUAGAAAUAGAAAAUCACUAAGUAAUGGGUAUAUCACAACAUAUCUUAAUAGAUAGAUACUAUCUAGAGUACACAAUACAACGGGUAAAUUAGCAUAUUCAAACGCAAACUUAUUCCCAAUCAAUGUUGGGAUUUGGAGUGAAGAUCCGAUUUAAAUCAAUUUCUUAAGAUGCAAAAAUGUAUUAGUAAGUAGUAACACAUUAAUCCAAAGUCCAAAAAUGAUCCACUUUAAAUGUAAUAGUUAAAGUCAUCUAAAUAAUCGAAGGUUUUGGAAAAUGUUAAUCAGUAUUCCUAAGGCACUAGAUAAGAAAACUAAAUAUAGUAUAAGUAUCUUAAAACUUAUAUAAUAAAGUUAAAAAAUGUAAAAAAUUAUGUUUUCAGGUAGUCCCUAAUAUGGACCUCAAUUUAAAGGGACCAUUGGUGAAUCUUUGUUACUUACUUACUAUAGCCGGUCACUAUCUUUUAUGUUUUGUUUUGAGGCUUAAUUACUGGAUUUAAUUUCAUCUUCUCUCUUUACAUCUCUUCUCGCUGGUUCAUGUCAAAGUCUAUGCUGGUGAACAAACCUCAAACCUCAACUAUCCACCUUCAAUCUGUCCAUUGUCGAUUCGUUUCCUAAUUACUCGGAUUACCCUUUGUGAUCAUGAACACGUCCUAUUUUGCCCAUUCCUUUAUACACGUCACUCUUAGUGAAUGGGUCAAUCCUUUUCAUUUGUGUGAGUGUUUCUAAUUAGAUUUGUCUCUAGGAGAGUACUAGUAAUCUGUUGGGCUAUUUUGUCAUCAACAGCAACAAACAGCCACAAUGUCACAUUUGUCCCUUUAACUCCCUUCACCCAAAAGCUUCAAAUUUCAACCACAACUACAAAAAUUACAAUCACCUCAGAUAUCCCCUCUGAUUCAAUUUUUGUUUGGAGGCUUUGAAAAGGCAAACAACAUCAAAUAAUAAUACUAAACUUUGUGGUUUGUAAAGAUGAAAAUGAAAUAUGAAAGAAGAGAGAGGAUUGGGGAAGGGAAUGGAGUGGUGGAGCCAAAAAUGACAUUGGUGAAGAAACAAAUGAAGCAUAUAAGAGGGGAUAGAGAAGAGUAAGAGAGUUAAUUUGAUUGCAGUAAGAAAAAAUGACCGGCUAUAAUAAGUCACUUUGUGAGGUUCACCAAUGGUCCCUUUAAAUUGAGGUCCAUAUUAGGGUCUCCCAUAUUUUCAAUGCAAAUAUUUUUUUUUUCCUUAACUAGUGUUUUGGAGGCAUUAGUUAACAAGACUUUUUUGUUUACAAGGCACUAAUAAAGCUUGCUAGCUCAUAUAUAUAUAUAUAUAACAUAAUUACAUAAAAAAAAAAAAAAAAA